rnacentral:tRNA from 1 species
GGAUGUAGCUCAGUCGGUUAGAGCGCCAGGUUGUGGCCCUGGAGGUCGCGGGUUCGAAUCCCGUCAUU